UUGGUUCCUCUGGCGUUGCCAGUUUCUUACAUUCUUCCUCUCGCCUUUCAUCACUUUGUGUUUUUUUUUUAAUUUUCUUCGACUUCAUCCUUUGAGUUUUCCAAUUAACCAGAUCCUCUGGCGCCAAAUAAUCUCUUCAUAUACAGAAACGGUGGUGCUGUGAAUUGAACUCGUUCAUUUGCCCCUUUAUUUCUGUCUAUAUGUUACCAGUAUAUGUGUUUUUACUCUUGUUAGUGUUUU
rnacentral:lncRNA from 1 species